rnacentral:tRNA from 1 species
AGGGAUGUAGCUCAGUGGUAGAGCACUUGCCUAGCAUGCUUGAGGUCCUGGGUUCAAUCCCAAUACCACAA